AUUGUGAUGUCUUGCACUAAUCAGUGUUUGUUUUGUAUCAUAUUUCAGGUAAUGGUAUGAAUUGAGAUGAUUUAUUUAGUUACCUUCAACUGGUCAGUGGUCAACAAGAGAGUAUUACUGUGUGUCUUGAAACAUUGAAUGCCCCAAAACAACCAGUAUGAUAAGAAGGCCAGAAUAUACAGCUUCCCAAAAUGUUGAAAGACUAAGCUGUUUUUUCUAUGGACUUGUAUACUAUCUAGGUUGAAAUUAGCCAUAGACAAUGAAUUUGGAGGUGCAUGCUGGAGCAUCAGAAAUUACAGACUUGGAAUAAAUAUUUGCAUAAUAUACAAGUAACAUUUACUGAAAAAUGACUAAUGUUUAUGUUAAUAAAGUGCAAUAUCCAUGCUUGUAACAUUUACAUGGAGGUAAUAGUUACAGUGUUGAAAGAGACUGCCAGUGUUACAUUUCAAUCUAAGUUACAGUGUGGAUGCUAAUUCUAAAUUCUUGAUAGUCAAGUGUUUUUAGUAACUUAUGGAUACUAAUUAUUUAUCAAACUGUUUAAUUUAUCACAUCCCUACAUCAUUAUUUUACAUAAAAUGUUUGUGGUUAUAUAAUAUAUGUUUAUAUGGUAAU
rnacentral:lncRNA from 1 species